UUAGGGUUAAGGUUAGAGUUAGGAUUUGUGUUAGGGUUAGGGUUAGGGUUAGGGUUAGGGUUAGGGUUAGGGUAGGGUUAGAGUUACGUUUAGGGUUAGGGUUAGGGUUAGGGUUAGGGUUGGGGUUCGGGUUAGGUUUAGGGUGAGGGUAAGGCUUAGGUUUACGAUUAGGGUUUCGGUUACACCAAGGGUUAGGUUUGGUGUUUGUGUUAGGAUAAUGGUUAUGGUUGGGGUAGGGUUUGGGUUAGGGUAGGUUAGUGUUAGGAUUAGGUUUAGGGUUCCGCUUAGGGUAAGAUUAGGGUAUGGCUUAAUGUUAGUGUUAGGGUUAUUGUUAUGGUUCGGGUUAUGGUUCGUUUAGGGUAGGGUUAGGUUUAGGGUUAGGGUUAGGGUUAGAGUUAGGUUUAGGGUUAGGGUUAGGGUAUGGGCUAGGGUUAGGGUUGGGGUACGUUAGGGUUAGGGUUAGGUUAGGGUUAGGGUUAGGGUUAGGGUUAGGGUUAGGGUUAGGGUUAGGGUUAGGGUUAGGGUUAGGGUAGGGUUAGAGUUAGGGUUGGGUUAGGGUGGUUAGGGUUAGGGUUGGGGUAGGUUUAGGGUUACGGUUAGGGUAGUGUGGUUUAGGGUUGGUUAGGGUUAGGGUUACGGUUAGGGUUAGGGUCAGGGUAAGAGUUUGAGUUCGGAUUAGGGUAUAGGGGUGAGGGUGAGGGUAAGGCUUAGGUUUACGGGUUAAGGUUUUGGGUUACGCUAACGGUUAGGUUUGGGUUUGUGUUAGGAUAAUGGUACGAUUCAGGGUAGGGUUAGGGUUAGGGUAGGGUUAGGGUUCGGUUAGGCUUCAGGGUAAGUUUAGGGUAAGGGUUUUGGUUAGGGUUAUGGCAAGGGUUAGGCUUACUGUUAGGGUUAGUUGUCGGUAAAUUGGGUUUGAGUUACGGUAUGUAGGUAGUGUUAGGCUUAGGGUUAGGGUUAGUGUUAAUGUUAGGGUUAAAGUAAGUUUAGGGUUAGGGUUAGGGUUAGGGUUAGCAUUAUGUUCAGGGUUAGGGUUAGGGUUAGGGUAAUUUGGGUAAGUGUAGGGUUAGGGAUAGGGAUAGGGAUAGGGUUACGGUUACGGUUAGGUUCAGGGUUAGGUUAGGGUUAGUGUUAGGGUAAGGUAGGGUUAUGGUUAGCCUUAUGGUUAGGGUUAGGGUUAGGGUUGGGGUAGGGUUAGGUUAGGGUUGGGGUUAGGUUUAGGGUUAAGGUUAGGGUUAGCUAGGGUUAGGGUUACGGUUACGGUUAGGGUUAGGGUUUGGGUUUGGGUUAGGGUCAGGGUUGGGUAGGUUUAGUGUUAGUCUAGGGUUAGGCUUAGGGUUAGGAAAUAGGUUAUAGCUACCUUUGAGGGUACUUAGGCUUAGGGUUAGGGUUAGGAUUGGGGUUAGGGUUA
rnacentral:lncRNA from 7 species